AGCGGAUUGGCAGAGCUGGUCGAAUGCAGGGGGUUGCUAACCUCUAAACCCUGAAAUGGGUUCGUAGGUUCGAAUCCUACAUCCGCUACCA
rnacentral:tRNA from 1 species